UCCGACUGGGAUAACUCGCGGAAACGUGAGCUAAUACCGGAUAAUACUUUUUAUUGCAUAAUAAGAAGUUUGAAAGGCGGCGUAAGCUGUCACUUAUAGAUGGGCCCGCGGCGCAUUACCUAGUUGGUGAGGUAAAGGCUCACCAAGGCAACGAUGCGUAGCCGACCUGAGAGGGUGAUCGGCCACCCUGGGACUGAGACACGGCCCAGACUCCUACGGGAGGCAGCAGUAGGGAAUCUUCCGCAAUGGACGAAAGUCUGACGGAGCAACGCCGCGUGAGUGAAGAAGGUUUUCGGAUCGUAAAACUCUGUUGUUAGGGAAGAACU
rnacentral:rRNA from 1 species